GACGAACGCUGGCGGCGUGCUUAACACAUGCAAGUCGAACGGAAAGGCCCUGCUUUUGUGGGGUGCUCGAUUGGCGAACGCGUGAGUAACACGUCUGUAACCUGCCCCUGACUCUGGGCCACCUUCACGAAACUGGGGCUAAUUCCGGAUUGGAGCUCCUGCCGCCUGGUGCGGGCUGGUAAGUCUCGGCGGUUGUGGAUAGACUCGCGGCCUAGCAGCUUCUUGGUGGGGUAGUGGCUUAACAAGGCUUUGACGGCCACUCGGCCUGGGAAGAUGACCGGCCACAAUGGGACUGAGAGACGGCCCAAACUCCUACGGGAGGCAGCAGAGAGGAAGAUUGCACAAUAGGCGGAAGCCUAAUGCAGCAACGCCGCGUGCGGGAUGACGGCCUUCGAGUUGUAGGCCGCUUUCACCUGUGACGAAACGUAAGUGACGGUAAUGGGUAAAGAAGCACCGGCUAACUACGUG
rnacentral:rRNA from 1 species